UUCUCAUCUGUCCACCUUCUCUGUAUCCAUCACAUCAGCUGCAUUAUGACAUAACACCCUACUUGGCUCCCUACCCUUGGUCAAUCACUCUCCAGUCCCUCCAUCACCCAGCUGCCAGUAAUAUCCUAAAGAAUAUAUCUUGAGGAAAGUACCUAUCUUUCCUCUGGCUUGUUUAUAUUGGCAGAGGGGCAAUGGCAGGCACAUACAUCUUAUCUUGAUAAAAGAACCCCAAGGAUUCUAAGAAAUGAGAAGG